rnacentral:piRNA from 1 species
UCCACCUUUCAUUGUCUCUCG